rnacentral:rRNA from 1 species
AGAGUUUGAUCCUGGCUCAGAUUGAACGCUGGCGGCAUGCCUUACACAUGCAAGUCGAACGGCAGCACGGGAGCAAUCCUGGUGGCGAGUGGCGAACGGGUGAGUAAUAUAUCGGAACGUGCCCAAUCGUGGGGGAUAACGCAGCGAAAGCUGUGCUAAUACCGCAUACGAUCUACGGAUGAAAGCGGGGGACUCAGCAAUGGGCCUCGCGCGAAUGGAGCGGCCGAUAUCAGAUUAGCUAGUUGGUGGGGUAAAGGCUCACCAAGGCGACGAUCUGUAGCUGGUCUGAGAGGACGACCAGCCACACUGGAACUGAGACACGGUCCAGACUCCUACGGGAGGCAGCAGUGGGGAAUUUUGGACAAUGGGCGCAAGCCUGAUCCAGCAAUGCCGUGUGCAGGAUGAAGGCCUUCGGGUUGUAAACUGCUUUUGUACGGAACGAAAAGACUCCUUCUAAUAAAGGGGGUUCAUGACGGUACCGUAAGAAUAAGCACCGGCUAACUACGUGCCAGCAGCCGCGGUAAUA